AGUUAUCGACAGGCCACCACAAGUAAUCGGCCGACCACCAUAAGAAAAAUAAGAAAACUUAUGAAAACCGUGACGAAAAUGUUGUUAAACGUAUUGGUAAAAUGCUUAAUGUGCUAAUAAAUCUCAGAUAUGAAACGUUAAAACGUGAAUUUAAUAUCAAAUCUGUGCAAAAUUUCAAAGUGCAAUAGCUAUUACGAUUGCUGUGCAAUUUGUUUAAACUACAGGGCAACAAAAUAAAUCAAAACAAGUAAAUAACCUUGUGUCUUGCAGUUCGAGCGCGCACCUAAUCAGUAACAAAAUAGAAAGUCAAAUAACCAACAGCCGCCAGUGAACAUCCCAAAUUUCACAAUAGUGUAUUUUGUUAAAGUCAUUUACAGUGCAUUAAAAAGUUUCGUGCUGCACAGUGACACAAAUACAUACGCGACACACACACAAGCGCACACAUACAAUAAAAUAUUCGUAUAUACGCAGUUACGUAUUGGUGUGCAUACGAAAGACGUGCGGAGAGGAAUUCGAAAAUAUACAAAGUACUUCCAUUUCAAUAGUUUUUUUUUUUUUUAAUU